CACGCACGCACGCACGCACGCACGCACGCACGCACGCACGCACGCACACGCACGCACGCACGCACGCACGCACGCAUCCCAUUUGAGCCUUCAAUAUAUUGUUGCAAUUGCAAUGUGUGUGUAUAUAUAUAUAUAUAUAUAUAUAGCUCAUAAAUAUAAAAGUUUAACAAGAAAAAAAUUUAAAAAUAGAAAGAUAACAAAAAGAACUAUGGUGAUUUGAUGUAUACAUGAACACAGCAUUUCAAUGAGAUCCACGAAAAAAUUGUUCUAUCAAAUACGUGCAAAAUAUUUAAAUCUGUACACUAUUUAUAUGAUAUAUAUGUAUAUGUAUGUAUGUAUGUAUGUAACAACUUUAAGAUAUUUUGUGAAAAAAUACAAAGAUACAAAUCGAAAUAUAUGUUUGUAUAUUGUAAACUGCAACCGACAGGACUAAAGUGACAUUUCUUAUCAAGAGGUUUUCUUUCUAAAAAAAAUUCCAUAAACAUGUUAUAGAAAAAUGUACAUCUCGUCGAAGAAGUGCAGUUAGGUCUCUUUUGCGGUGGGAUUGGAUCCAUUGAUGUUGUGAAUAACCUAGGCUUGCCCGGUGGCCCAUGGCUAGUCGGCGACGGUCCAUGCGAAUGAAGAUUAUGAACACUGCUCACUUGAUUGCUGGUGAGGCUGGACAUAGUGGGCUGAUACAUCGAUGGCAUGUAACUGCUCGACGACUGAGACGCCGAUCUGGCAACCAAUGCAUUACGCAUGAAAAUGAUGUCCAUAACAAUGAGAUAAAAAUAAAAAAAAUAGAGAAUAUCAAAUACUUGAUUUGAAGCAGAUACGAAGACAGCAUUUCAACAAGAUUCUUGACAAAACUUCUAGAUACGUGCAAAAUUUAAUAUUAAUUUAUAUUUAUAUAUAUUUAUGUACGCAUAACUAUAAAUCUAUAUAAUUAUACGU